rnacentral:rRNA from 1 species
GUAAACGAUGUCGAUUUGGAGGUUGUGCCCUUGAGGCGUGGCUUCCGGAGCUAACGCGUUAAAUCGACCGCCUGGGGAGUACGGCCGCAAGGUUAAAACUCAAAUGAAUUGACGGGGGCCCGCACAAGCGGUGGAGCAUGUGGUUUAAUUCGAUGCAACGCGAAGAACCUUACCUGGUCUUGACAUCCACAGAACUUUCCAGAGAUGGAUUGGUGCCUUCGGGAACUGUGAGACAGGUGCUGCAUGGCUGUCGUCAGCUCGUGUUGUGAAAUGUUGGGUUAAGUCCCGCAACGAGCGCAACCCUUAUCCUUUGUUGCCAGCGGUUCGGCCGGGAACUCAAAGGAGACUGCCAGUGAUAAACUGGAGGAAGGUGGG